GUAGAUCAUUACCGAACUUUUCCAGACAAAUAUGUAUCUGUAUUACAGAAAUUUCUCCAAGAAUGUACACUCAUACCCAAAGGGAAAAGACGUUAAUAGAUCAAAGGAGUUGAGGGUGAUUAACCAUUCCUCGUAGUCUUUAUUGAAUUGCUUUAAUUGGGGCAAUGUAUCUUAAGAGUUGCAAACUAGUCUUGUGUUAAGUGCUGUCAAUUGCUACUCAGGCAGUAACAUUCUGCAAUGAGGAGGCUUUGCUGCAAGUGGACUGGUAGUAGUUGCAAAUUGGUCCAAAGUAGACUUACAUCUCCG
rnacentral:misc_RNA from 1 species